AGGAAAAGAAACCAACAGGGAUUGCCUCAGUAGCGGCGAGUGAAGCGGCAAAAGCUCAGAUUUGAAAUCGUGUUUCGGCACGAGUUGUAGAUUGCAGGUUGGAGUCUUUGUGGAAGCGUGUGUCUAAGUCCCUUGGAACAGGGUGCCAUUGAGGGUGAGAGCCCCGUGAGACGCGUGCGGAAGCUGUAAGGCCCUUCUGACGAGUCGAGUUGUUUGGGAAUGCAGCUCUAAGUGGGUGGUAAAUUCCAUCUAAGGCUAAAUAUUGGCGAGAGACCGAUAGCGAACAAGUACUGUGAAGGAAAGAUGAAAAGCACUUUGAAAAGAGAGUGAAACAGCACGUGAAAUUGUUGAAAGGGAAGGGUAUUGGGCUCGACAUGGGAUUUGCGCACCGCUGCUCCUUGUGGGCGGCGCUCUGUGCUUUUCCUGGGCCAGCAUCGGUUUUUGCCGCAGGAGAAGGCGUGCUGGAAUGUGGCUCUUCGGAGUGUUAUAGCCAGUGCGAGAUGCUGCGUGCGGGGACCGAGGACUGCGACAUCUGUCUCGGAUGCUGC
rnacentral:rRNA from 1 species